rnacentral:rRNA from 1 species
GAUGAACGCUGGCGGCGUGCUUAACACAUGCAAGUCGAACGGGCAUUUUGGGAAACUGGAAUGCUAGUGGCAAACGGGUGAGUAACACGUGAGAAUCUGCCCUAAGGUGGGGGAUAACAGCUGGAAACGGUUGCUAAUACCCCAUAUGCCGAACGGUAAAAGGAUGGAGCCACCUUAGGAAGAGCUCGCGCCGGAAUAGCUAGUUGGUAAGGUAACGGCGCACCAAGGCCAUGAUCAGUAGCUGGUUUGAGAGGACGAUCAGCCACACUGGGACUGCGACACGGCCCAGACUCCUACGGGAGGCAGCAGUGGGGAGUUUUCCGCAAUGGGCGAAAGCCUGUCGGGGCCAUGCCGCGUGAGCGAUGGAAGCCUGUGGGUUGUAAACCUCUUUUCUCAAGGAAGAAGUUCUGACGGUACUUGAGGAAUAAGCAUCGGCUAACUCUGUGCCAGCCGCCGCGGUAACAC